AAGAUUCAUCGAUUGUUUCUGGUCUGCUAAACCUAGAAACUUGUGGUUUAACUCCAUAAGAAUCUUG
rnacentral:tRNA from 1 species